rnacentral:rRNA from 1 species
UACGUAGGGGGCUAGCGUUGUCCGGAUUUAUUGGGCGUAAAGAGCGUGUAGGCGGUCAGAUAGGUCGGUUGUGAAAACUGGAGGCUCAACCUUCAGAGGUCGACCGAAACCCCCUGGCUAGAGUCCGGGAGAGGAGAGUGGAAUUCCUGGUGUAGCGGUGAAAUGCGCAGAUAUCAGGAAGAACACCCGUGGCGAAAGCGGCUCUCUGGAACGGUACUGACGCUGAGACGCGAAAGCGUGGGGAGCGAACAGG